rnacentral:tRNA from 1 species
CAAAUUAGAGCUUGAUUAAGUAUUUCAUUUACAUUGAAAUGAUAUUGAAAUAAAUUCGAUUAAUUUGA